rnacentral:rRNA from 1 species
GAUGAACGCUGGCGGCGUGCCUAAUACAUGCAAGUCGAGCGAACAGAUAAGGAGCUUGCUCCUUUGAAGUUAGCGGCGGACGGGUGAGUAACACGUGGGUAACCUACCUAUAAGACUGGGAUAACUUCGGGAAACCGGAGCUAAUACCGGAUAACAUUUAGAACCGCAUGGUUCUAAAGUGAAAGAUGGUUUUGCUAUCACUUAUAGAUGGACCCGCGCCGUAUUAGCUAGUUGGUAAGGUAACGGCUUACCAAGGCGACGAUACAUAGCCGACCUGAGAGAGUGAUAGGCAACACUGGCACUGAGACACGGUGCAGACUCCUAAGGGAGGCAGCAGAAGGGAAUGUAACGCAAUGGGCGAAAGCCUGACGGAACAAAGACGCGUGAGUGAUGAAGGGUUUAGGAUCGUAAAACACUAUUAUUAGGGAAGAAAAAAUGUGUAAGUAACUGUGCACAGCUUGACGGUACCUGAUCAGAAAGCAACGGCUAACUACGUG